GACGAACGCUGGCGGCGUGCUUAACACAUGCAAGUCGAACGGUGAAGCGCCUGUCUUUUUGGUGGGUGUGGAUGAGUUGCUAACGGGUGAGUAACACGUGAGUAACCUGUCCCUUUCUUCGUGAUUACCGCAUGAAAGUGUGGCUAAUACGGGAUAUGUGGUGUCUGUCGCAUGAUGGGUCUGGGAAUGAGUUUGUUUGUGUGGGGGUGUGGCUCGCGGCCUAUCAGCUUGUUGGUGGGGUGAUGGCCUACCAAGGCGGUGACGGGUAGCCGGCCUGAGAGGGUGGACGGUCACACUGGGACUGAGACACGGCCCAGACUCCUACGGCACGCAGCAGUGAGACAUAUUGCACAAUGGGCGCAAGCCUGAUGCAGCGACGCCGCGUAAGGGAUGGAGCCCUUCGGGUUGUGAACCUCUUUCGCCAGUGAAAAAGAACUGCCUCGUUUGUGGGUGGGUUGACGGUAGCUGGAUAAGAAGCGCCGGCUAACUACGUG
rnacentral:rRNA from 1 species